rnacentral:rRNA from 1 species
GAUGAACGCUGGCGGCGUGCCUAAUACAUGCAAGUCGAGCGAACGGACGAGAAGCUUGCUUCUCUGAUGUUAGCGGCGGACGGGUGAGUAACACGUGGAUAACCUACCUAUAAGACUGGGAUAACUUCGGGAAACCGGAGCUAAUACCGGAUAAUAUUUUGAACCGCAUGGUUCAAAAGUGAAAGACGGUCUUGCUGUCACUUAUAGAUGGAUCCGCGCUGCAUUAGCCAGUUGGUAAGGUAACGGCUUACCAAGGCAACGAUGCAUAGCCGACCUGAGAGGGGGAUCGGCCCCACUGGAACUGAGACACGGUCCAGACUCCUACGGGAGGCAGCAGUAGGGAAUCUUCCGCAAUGGGCGAAAGCCUGACGGAGCAACGCCGCGUGAGUGAUGAAGGUCUUCGGAUCGUAAAACUCUGUUAUUGGGAAGAACAUAUGUGUAAGUAACUGUGCACAUCUUGACGGUACCUAAUCAGAAAGCCACGGCUAACUACGUG